AGCGAACGCUGGCGGCAGGCUUAACACAUGCCAGUCGAGCGGGCAUCCUUGUGGUGUCAGCGGCAGACGGGUGAGUAACGCGUGGGAACGUGCCCUUCGGUUCGGAAUAACUCAGGGAAACUUGAGCUAAUACCGGAUACGCCCUUUUGGGGAAAGGUUUACUGCCGAAGGAUCGGCCCGCGUCUGAUUAGCUAGUUGGUGAGGUUAUGGCUCACCAAGGCGACGAUCAGUAGCUGGUCUGAGAGGAUGAUCAGCCACACUGGGACUGAGACACGGCCCAGACUCCUACGGGAGGCAGCAGUGGGGAAUAUUGGACAAUGGGGGCAACCCUGAUCCAGCCAUGCCGCGUGAGUGAUGACGGCCUUAGGGUUGUAAAGCUCUUUUCGCCGGGACGAUAAUGACGGUACCGGAGGAAUAAGCCCCGGCUAACUUCGUG
rnacentral:rRNA from 1 species